UACGUAGGGACCGAGCGUUGUCCGGAAUCAUUGGGCGUAAAGAGCGUGUAGGCGGCCACUUAAGUCCUGCGUGAAAUCUUGCGGCUCAACCGCAAGCGGUCGUGGGAAACUGGGUGGCUAGAGUGCGGGAGAGGAGAGUGGGAUUCCUAGUGUAGCGGUGAAAUGCGUAGAGAUUAGGAAGAACACCAGUGGCGAAGGCGACUUACUGGACUGUAACUGACGCUGAGGCAUGAAAGCGUGGGGAGCAAACAGG
rnacentral:rRNA from 1 species